AGCAAGCUUUUUGCUACAGCCCCAUGGAGACGGGUCACAUGUUAGAAUGCUUUAUAUAUUUGAAGGGAAAUUUCUGCACCUUUUUUUAACAUUUUUUAUUUGUAUUAUUCUUUAUGGACGUCCAGUCGGUGUUGAUGCUAAAGGUUGUUAAUUAUUAACUGGGAAAGCUGAGUUCCCCUGCUCGCGGAGGUGUGCUGGCUGUGCCGACAUGUUCCAGGAUGCAUUUCGCGCAAGCCACUGACAUCCAGCUGAAGCAUAGUGAAGCCGAGUUCCCCCCCUCGGUAAUGGAACACAAAAACACAGGUCCUGUCAUCAGCGUAAAACAAGCCGGAGACAACUCUUGAUUAUUUUCCACGCUCCAACUGCAGCACAUGUCGGCUUCACUCCAAAUUUUCUCUAUGCAGGAAAAACCCUGUCACCAUAAAAGCACACCUCAAAUGUGCUUAACGUUUUGCCAACUCAACCUCUUUCAAUAGUGUGGUGACGGUUUAUCUCUUGGCUCCUGCAAAAGGUCUCCAGUAUACCUGUGUCCAGGUUGUUUGUCUACGAAAUACAAAUCAAACCUGUACUGGUCCUACCCGCCUGCGGGUAAACACUUGUAUGUGGCUUAGGACAACAACCGCCUUCAAAGUGUCUUAGUCCAACCUUCACCGGCCAAGUGCUGCACAUGAACGCAACACGUUACUGAAGGCAAACAAAACGUGUCUGCGCGUGAGACAGGAAAUUGUCAGGAGAAGAGCUAGUUAACUUUAACGGAGGUUGCAUUAAAUUUCAUUAUGAUGCGUUCAGGCUCUAUUCAAUGAAAUAAUUAGAAAAAUGCAUGAAGGUAAAUUCUAACGAAAUCAAGAUGUGUUGAGACGAUAUCCUGUAAAGGGCAGUUUUUGGUGAGAGGCUUGUACAAGUACAGUCUGAAGGAUGUUUUCACAGCCAUGUUAAAUGUAUAUUCCUGAGGUACUACAGGGUGUCCGCGGGUCCUUAAAAAGUCUUAAAUUGCUUUUCCUAAAAAUAAGGCCUUAAAAAGUCUUAAAUUGUCUUAAAUUCAGAUUGGCUUGGUCUUAAAUUUUUUGGGUGUCAUGUCAUUACGAAUAUGAGGCAAUCUGUUCCGCCAGGUCCGCAUUUUGCUGCUCUAUGGUGUCUCUGGUGUCACCGGGGCCACGCCCCUUCUCUUAAAGGGGCCCCGCGUAUUCGGUCCCAUCAAUCCCCUACAACGUGAAGCAUCGACUAGUUUAGAAAACAUGGGGGGGAUGCAAGUUCAACAAAAAAUGGCUAGAAAAGAACGAGUGUUUCUGGUCACGGUCGGUGAAAUGCUUCUGAAGCUGCGUUAUGUGUCGGGAGACUUUCCAGCGGUGGAAUCUCACGAGCAGAGCAAGAAGCACAGAGACUAGCGAAGGCCGCCAGCAGCCCGCGGGGCUAGCUGCUGCUCCGCCGCGAGCUCCUGCUCCGCCGCCCGCAACGACGUCAACGCUACAACGCUGGAGGUCACCGGAGGAAAUCCAGCGCCGUGCAACAAAGAGCUCAUCACCGAAGACCAACGCUGCGGCGCGUUCUUCAUUCUGUUCCACGAGUCUCUGGACCAGACCACCGCGAGCAGACAGCUGGACUUCAUGUGCGUUAUUGGUGACAUGACCACGUCCCGUCAGGAUCCUAUGGAGCACAGCUCAUGGGCCAUGACACCAGGACCUACUUCAGCAUCUCAAAGAGAAUGGACCAAAUGUCAACUGGAAGUUUUUAUAUUAAUACAGUUUGAAAAGGAUUGUUUUCCUAGUAUAUUCACAAAAGCUCAGGAGUAGACAUGAACCUGUGCACAAACAUCCAUUACAUAGAGACAUGAGAACUCACACUCACUCACUCACCCACACACACAUACAUUCUAUUAUGUAAAUGUAUUUGCAUUUUAAAAGCAGCUGGAAAUGUUGUUUAUGUUAUUUUAUAGAUUGUUUUUGUUCAAAAGGAACUAUGUUGCACGUAUUUUAAAAAUAUAUUUACUUAAUUUUAUAGACAUUUGUUCAUGGGACCUAAAUGUUCUGAAAAUGUAUUAAUAAAUAUAAUUUACAACAGCAA